AGUUGGAAUUGAAGGCAUCUGACAAAUGUUAGACAAACACGAGUGAUUGAGAUUGAAGAAAGACUGGAGUAGUUACUGUGGAGAAUGCAAAAGGAUGGUUAUUCAAGGUACAGGGACCCCGCUUCUCCUUGAUGGCAGGAUUGAUCAUCACAACCCUUUUCUGACAAUUGACCUAGGAGCACAGGAGGCAAAGAAUAAUUGACAGAAGGUAUAGAAUUACAACCUUGACAGCCAACAUUAUCUACAGAAGAAGGAGAAACAGGAAUUUCCUGCUGAGAUAAUUUACCACCUUCAGAGUAUAGACUUGUCUUCUAUUAAUCUAUAGAGGAAAGCUAUGCAUCCCUCCAGCAAACUAUGAAUAUGUCCAAAAAGUGUUUUCAGGUUGUUCUGUAUUUUUUUUCAACAUAUUAGCUGUCCAAGGGAAAAAGAUAGAAGCAGAGCCAUGAUAAGCAAAUGAAAAAAUUUA